AUUGAACGCUGGCGGCAGGCUUAACACAUGCAAGUCGAGCGAGCGGCGGACGGGUGAGUAAUGUCUGGGAAACUGACUGAUGGAGGGGGAUAACUACUGGAAACGGUCUCUAAUACCGCAUACCAUCAGAUGUUACCAGAUGGGAUUAGCUAGUAGGUGGGGUAAUGGUUCACCUAGGCUACGAUCCCUAGCUGGUCUGAGAGGAUGACCAGCCAGACUGGAGCGGGGACACGGUCCAGACUCCUACGUGAGGCAGAAGUGGGGAAUAUUGCACAAUGGGCGCAAGCCUGAUGCAGCCAUGCCGCGUGUAUGAAGAAGGCCUUCGGGUUGUAAAGUACUGUUAGCGGGGAGGCGUUACCCGCAGAAGAAGCACCGGCUAACGCCGUGCCAGCAGCCGCGGUAAUAC
rnacentral:rRNA from 1 species